rnacentral:rRNA from 1 species
UGUAAGCGUAUACCAAAGUUGUUGCAGUUAAAACGCUCGUAGUCGGAACUUGGCCGUGUCGGAUGAGUGCACGUCGUGUGCGCGCAUUGCAGAUAUGGCUUUUGUGGUUUUUGCGUACGUUGAGGCACGUUUAUUCGUGAACGUCGUUCCGCAGCCACUCUUUACUGUGAGAAAAUCAAAGUGCUCAAAGCAGGCAUUUGCCGUGAAUGUAUUAGCAUGGAAUAAUAGAAUAGGACUCGGUUCUAUUUUGUUGGUUUGUUGGGGCUGAGUAAUGAUUAAGAGGGACAGUUGGGGGCAUUUGUAUUUCGGCGCUAGAGGUGAAAUUCUUAGAUUGCCGAAAGACAAACUGCUGCGAAAGCGUCUGCCAAGGAUGUUUUCAUUGA